rnacentral:rRNA from 1 species
UACGGAGGAUGCAAGCGUUAUCCGGAAUGAUUGGGCGUAAAGCGUCCGCAGGUGGCUGUGUAAGUCUGCUGUUAAAUAGUGAGGCUCAACCUCAUAAAGGCAGUGGAAACUACACGGCUAGAGUGCGUUCGGGGCAGAGGGAAUUCCUGGUGUAGCGGUGAAAUGCGUAGAUAUCAGGAAGAACACCGGUGGCGAAGGCGCUUUGCUGGACCAUAACUGACACUCAGGGACGAAAGCUAGGGGAGCGAAUGGG